rnacentral:sRNA from 1 species
AAUAAAAGAUAAGGAAGACAAAUCAUAUAUAUGAAAGUUGGCCAACUCUCUCCAUAUGAUUGACACAUCAUCACUUUAACAUGUGCCAUGUGUCCACAUAAUAAUUAAUGUAAGCUUUCAACUUUUAAUUUAUAGAUUAAUGAUGUAUUUAUU